rnacentral:rRNA from 1 species
UACGAAGGGAGCUAGCGUUGUUCGGAAUCACUGGGCGUAAAGCGCACGUAGGCGGACGUGUCAGUCAGGGGUGAAAUCCCGGGGCUCAACCUCGGAACUGCCUUUGAUACAGCACGUCUUGAGUCCGGAAGAGGUGGGUGGAAUUCCUAGUGUAGAGGUGAAAUUCGUAGAUAUUAGGAAGAACACCGGUGGCGAAGGCGGCCCACUGGUCCGGUACUGACGCUGAGGUGCGAAAGCGUGGGGAGCAAACAGG